AGUUUUGUACAUAAGGUUCCGAGUGACCUUAAAUUUUGAGUUAUUUAUUUAAAAUUUAAGCUUAUUUAUUUAAUCCCAAUUUAAUACGUAUUGCUAAUUGCUAGAGGGUUCACAAUAUCGUCAAGCCAUGUUUGCAUGUUUCAAAAUGUUUUAUGGUUUGAUAUAAAAUUGAAGUAGUCUCAGUCAACGUACAUAUAUUUGCUUUUAAGAGCUGACAAUAUAUACGUGCUGCAUGCAUACCUGUUAGUCUUAAAUUGUGUGAAAAAUAAUUUCUUGCCAUGCAGGGAUCUGGGGGAGUUUGGGAAGUCUUUGAGAGCCUACACGGCUACCUUACUGAAACACCCAGUCCAGGAAUCCCCAUAUUGACUGUCAUGGAUGUGCAGGUUUAUUGGAAAGGUUCACAACUCAAUUGAGUCAGAUCUUGAAUUCCAUCAGCAUGUAUAUAAAAUGUACAAUGUAAUUUAACAAGGUUUGUCUUAACAACCGUGAUUGCCUAAUUAGAAGAACCAUCCACAAGGAUAACUGCAUGAUUUGACAAAAUAAAUUGCAGUCAGUUUACAGGGAACAAACAGUGAACUUCUUCACAAGACAAUAAGACAAUUGAUAUGAAGUCAAAUGUAGUUCAUUUAGUAGUAGUUCCAUUAAAUGAAGUUCAGCCAAUUAUUGUUUGAUUCACAGGAAGAUUCUGAUGAUGAUGAAGAGAGACAGGAAGAGGAGGAAAGUGACCGGGUUGUUGACAUGUAAUUUAAUUAAUUGUCAAUAAGCAUUUAAUUUAAAGUGAAGUGGUGUCAAUGACCGUUUCCUAAAUGUAAUUUGCAACUGCAACGCACUUGUUUAUGGCUAACACGAUCAGGGUGGCAAAGUAGGGGUCUAGUUAUCCAUCCAUCCCAACCCAUACUGUUGGGUUGUCUAAUCCUAACCCUAACUCCAAUCUGCAAGGUGCUCUUUUGCAUGUACAAUUAACUCUUGAAAUUGAUCACAUGAUAAGUUGUUGUGCCAGUUUGCAAAGCGGAUGUUUUGGCAACUCAGGUAGUUUAGUUAAUUGUACCAUCCACUGUCUCCAAAAUCAUUUUCAACCUUAGUAGUACCAAAAAUUAUUAUUCAUGCUCACUUUCUUGAUAGAAAUCUUGACCUCAUUAUCUAAUUGUUUAAUAGAAAUAUGUAUUAGCAUGAGGUGUUGAAGUAAUGAUGGCCCAAGCAAAGAGAAUUUUCAUUUUGAACAUCAAAGUAAGCAACAGAGUUAUCAAUAAGGGCUGUACCCCGUAGCACCGGUUACGGCUGAACAUGUUGGAUGGGUCCUUGAUGUUAUGGUUGAACUUUGCUGUUGUAGGUUCGAUUCAUCCAUAAAGUAACAAAUUUGUGACAGGUGUGGAGAUCAAGGCUACAGUUGAAUGAAAACUUAAUGACAGCCAUGAGCAAGUUGUUUUCUUUUUUUAAGUCUUGGUACUUUCUAAAUGAAAUAGAAAACAUGUUCUCCAUGAUUCCAUUGAUUUAUAGAACCACUCAUGAAAAUUUUGAAGAACUUGAAAAAUGUUAGAAACACUCGGCUAAUGGCUCCUGUUCCAACAACAUUUCUAGUUCUCCCAAACGUUCACUCAUGCUUCCAUAACUUGAUAGAAAAAUUGUACUGCUUAAUUUGUAUUGCUUAAUUGUAUAGUGGUGAUAAAAUAGUGUAUGACUUAGCAAUUUUAAUGUUUUUAAAUUGAGUCAUUGUUUAAUUAAUUAUCAUUUCUUUGUUAAUUUCAUUCAUUUUAAGAACAAAGUCAAUACUUAAUGUGGUUUUAUAGAGAUCUCUUGUCAUGAGUUGAUUUUGUUUUGGACAGGUUCUUUCCUUUACCAGAAAUUUGGCUGGUUUGGUAAGGCAAAAUUUUCAGGGUAUUCCAAUUUCAGCUCAGGGACAAUCAAAUGAAUCAGCUGUCCUAGCUUUAAGCACUGGGAGCAACCCAAAGGGGCAGGUUUACAAUUUCAAUGUGGUGCUACUGGAUCCCAGUGAUGAUUCAAUUCCCAGGGGUACUGUCAGGCAAGAUCUUCUUAACACUGGCAGGAUUGUCCAGAUAUCUUUGGGUAGGAGAACACAAGAAGCAGGAGCACUGAGAGCCCUGAAUGGUGCCCUCCCUUUCCUACACUGUACAAAACAGGUUUUAUUAAUUCUGAACCUAUUAAUGUUUUCUAACAACAGUUUCAUAUAACAGAAAAAUGCAUCAGCCACAUUGAUAACAUUUGAUGAUAACUGUGGUAACCUGGCAGUAUGUAUAUUGGUUUUAAAAAUAAGAUUAGUCCAGCCAAGACAAGAAGAUCAGAAUCCAAUUAAAGACGGGCUCCAAUGGACAAAUUCUAUGGAAACUAUUUAAAACAAUCACCUUGUUUUCAGCAAUUUUUUUUCAGCUCUGUAGUAUUGGUCUGCAGUACAAAAUAAAUUGAAAUGCUUUUAAUCAUGGGUAAUAUCACUGUGCCUUUUGCCUGGAGAGUACUGCUUUGUAAUUCUCGCGACUGAUAAAAGCUCAAGAAAUGUGUUGAUCCCUGCUGUCCGGCCAUCUUCAGGGUUUUCUGCCAGGGAAUGGAAGAAAGUGUGUGGCCAGGGUACACUGUACCUGCGCUUAAUAGAGAGCAGCCCUAGUGAUCAUGAGGAUCGGCCACCUAGACCAUCGGCAUCACGAGGAGGUGGGUGUGAAUUUGUUAUAUCAAUUGAAUAAUGUAUGUAAAUCAGUAUUAAAAUUCUGAUGCUGCAAUGUCAAGUAAAAUAACUAUGGCUACUCAGAUGGCAGGGUUUAAA